GCGACCGGGAGCUCUGGGCUAGGCACUGCGGGACGCAGGCGCGGCUGCGGCUUCCUUGUUCGGUCUCGAGUGGGGGCCGGCGGACGCGGGUGGAGUUAGCUCCGGAUGUUGGCCACGCUCUCACGUCGCCAGACCGCAGGAGGCGGGGGCCCUACGUUCAGCUCCCUCACCUCAGCUGCUCCAGCUGCCCCAGAAGAUACCGACGGUCAGAGAGGCUGAAUCACCGGCCCAAGAUCUUUUUGAAGAGAUGAACUUGACGGCUUGCUUUUCCCUCCUCCCCGUUCACUUCCUUCUUCCCACCCAAGGGCGAACAGUGAAUCAAAAACAGGAAGGAGCUGCGGGCUGCUCUGGAAGGGGGCUUGGAAGCUUUCUGUUCAGGGCCACACAGUAAAUGUUUUCGGCUCUGAACGUCCGUGGCAAUGACUCUGUGCUGUUAUAAUCGGAAAGCACCAGAGUUUAUAUGGAAACGAAUAGCUGUGACUAUCAACUUUUUUUUUUUUUUGACUAUCAACUUUAUUUACAGCCACACCAAUGUGACUGUCAUAUAAUUUCCAUGUGUCUCAAAAUACUUUGAUUUUCAUUCAACCAUUUAAAGAUGUAAAAAAAACAUUCUUAGCUCACGUACAUCCUUGCCUGCUUAGUCACUCAGUUGUAUUUGACUC